rnacentral:rRNA from 1 species
GACGAACGCUGGCGGCGUGCUUAACACAUGCAAGUCGAACGGAAAGGCCCUGCUUUUGUGGGGUGCUCGAGUGGCGAACGGGUGAGUAACACGUGAGUAACCUGCCCUUGACUUUGGGAUAACUUCAGGAAACUGGGGCUAAUACCGGAUAGGAGCUCCUGCUGCAUGGUGGGGGUUGGAAAGUUUCGGCGGUUGGGGAUGGACUCGCGGCUUAUCAGCUUGUUGGUGGGGUAGUGGCUUACCAAGGCUUUGACGGGUAGCCGGCCUGAGAGGGUGACCGGCCACAUUGGGACUGAGAUACGGCCCGGACUCCUACGGGAGGCAGCAGUGGGGAAUAUUGCACAAUGGGCGGAAGCCUGAUGCAGCAACGCCGCGUGCGGGAUGACGGCCUUCGGGUUGUAAACCGCUUUCGCCUGUGACGAAGCGUGAGUGACGGUAAUGGGUAAAGAAGCACCGACUAACUACGUG